UACGAAGGUGGCAAGCGUUACUCGGAAUUACUAGGCGUAAAGGGCAGGUAGGCGGUUCGGUUAGUCUGUUGUGAAAGCUCCUUGCUUAACGGGGAGAGGCCAACAGAUACUGCCGAGCUUGAGUAUAGGAGAGGGUACUGGAAUUCCCGGUGUAGCGGUGAAAUGCGCAGAGAUCGGGAGGAACACCAAUGGCGAAAGCAGGUACCUGGACUAUUACUGACGCUCAGCUGCGAAAGCUAGGGGAGCAAACAGGG
rnacentral:rRNA from 1 species